ACGCCAGUAUUCUUGCCUGGGAAAUCCCAUGAACAAAGAAGCUUGGUGGGCUACAGUCCAUGGGGUCGCAAAGAGUCGGAUGUGACUGAUGCGACUAAACAGUUCCUUGGCCAGUGGCCCUCACAACUGGUGGAUUAAAUUCAGCUCUUCACCGAAAGAAGAUCCAAAUUACCAGCAUCAAUGUGCCUGCAUUUUGGCUCAUUAUUAAGUAAAAUGGUUACUUAGUGAACACAAGCACCGUGAUACCUCGACAGUCAAUCUGAUAACUGAGAUGGACACUGAGUGACCGACGCCGGGAUGUGAUGGACAAAGGGAUGACUCAGGUCCCAGGAGACAGAGCAGGAUGGUGUGAGAUUUCAUCUUGCUACUCAGAAGAGCUUGAAAUUUAAAACUUAUGAAUUGUCUAUUUCUGGAAUUUUCCAUUUAAUAUUUUCAGACUGCGGUUGACCGAGGGUAACUGAAACCAUGGAAAGUGAAACCGAGGAAAAAGGAUGCUGGUGCGGAUGAACCGUGAGGACCUCCUGCUUUGGACAUUUCUUCUUCUGAUCUUUCGGUUCUGGGACGUGGUGGUGUGGCUGGACGUGUCACCGUCACCAGGAGCAGGUGAAUCCCUGGA